rnacentral:tRNA from 1 species
GGUCCCGUAGCUCAGAUGGAUAGAGCAGGAGUUUCCUAAACUCUUGGUCGGGCGUUCGACUCGCCCCGGGACCA